rnacentral:miRNA from 1 species
AUAUUAAAAACUCCUCUCUCUCUCUCUCUCUCUCUCUCUCUCUCAAAAAAGAACACAUCUCAUAAAGAGUCAGGUUUCUGGAGUCUCCAGUAAAGAGAGAGAGAGAGAGAGAGAGAGAGAGAGAGAGAGAGAGAGAGAGAGAUGAUCUAG